rnacentral:rRNA from 1 species
UGCCUGCACCAUCGACCGACCAUGAUCUUCUGUGAAGGUUUGAGUACGAGCAUACCUGUUGGGACCCGAAAGAUGGUGAACUAUGCCUGAGCAGGGCGAAGCCAGAGGAAACUCUGGUGGAGGCUCGUAGAUGUGCUGACGUGCAAAUCGCUUUUCGGACUUGGGUAUAGGGGCGAAAGACUACUAGUAGCUGGUUCCCUCCGAAGUUUCCCCCAGGAUAGCUGGAGCUUGAUCAGUUUUAUCGGGUAAAGCGAAUGAUUAGAGGUACCGGGGAUGAAACAUCCUCGACCUAUUCUCAAACUUUAAAUAGGUAAGACGUCUGGGUUGCUUAAUUGAACCCAGGCAUUCAAUGAGAGCUCCAAGUGGGCC